rnacentral:rRNA from 1 species
UACAGGGGGUGCAAACGUUGCUCGGAAUCAUUGGGCGUAAAGCGCACGUAGGCGGUUCGUUAUGUCGGAUGUGAAAGCCCUUGGCUUAACCGAGGAAGUGCAUCCGAAACUGGCGAGCUAGAGUACUAAAGAGGAUCGCGGAAUUCCCGGUGUAGAGGUGAAAUUCGUAGAUAUCGGGAGGAACACCGGUGGCGAAGGCGGGUCUCUGGGCAGUAACUGACGCUGAGAGACGAAAGCUAGGGGAGCGAAUGGG